CCAUAAAGAAACCUUAAUUCAACAUCGAGGUCGCAAACUUUUUCUUCGAUAUGAACUUUCCGAAAAAAUAACGCCGUUCUCCCUUAAGUAUGUUAAUACUGGAAACCAGUGGGUAGAUACCCCAUUAUACUUUAUUGAAAUAUUAUUGGACUAGAGUAAUAAUAGAUAUAAACUUGAAAUUCAAAGAAUUUGGCGGUACUUUAAUCUAACUAGAGGAACCUGUUUUAUAAACGAUAUGCCACGAAAAAUCUUACUUAUUUUAAAUAGUUUGUAUACCGUCAUUAUUAGAUAAUUUUUAAAGAAAAAAUUAUUUAAAUUAAUAUAAUUAAAUAUAUUAGAUCAAGGUGCAGCUUAUAAAUAAGAAAAAAUGGGUUACUAAUAAAUUUAUUUAGGUGAAUUUAAGACUUUAAAAGUUUAAWGAAGACGGAUUUAGUUGUAUAUUUAAUUUAAUAAGUUAAAUAAAAAUUAGCUCUAAAGUGUGUACAUAUCGCCCGUCGC
rnacentral:rRNA from 1 species